rnacentral:lncRNA from 1 species
AGGGGAAGAAAAUGGCAAUAGGGGGAACAAAAGCACAAAAAGUGGAUCAAAGGAGUGAAAAGGGGGCUAUUGGGGGAAUUCUUACUAGAUAAAAGAGGAAAGAAUCUUCCCAUACAUGUUAACUAGGAAUGGACGGUAAUGGAAACUUUGACCAAGGUUUUAUGAGCCAAAAAUUUAAUAAAAAUAAUAAGGAUGUGAAGAAUUGAUCAUAAGACCUAUCUAAUUAUGCUCUUAGCCACUAGGUCAACUCACUUGUUU